GACGAACGCUGGCGGCGUGCUUAACACAUGCAAGUCGAACGGAAAGGCCCUGCUUUUGUGGGGUGCUCGAGUGGCGAACGGGUGAGUAACACGUGAGUAACCUGCCCUUGACUUUGGGAUAACUUCAGGAAACUGGGGCUAAUACUGGAUAGGAGCUCCUGCUGCAUGGUGGGGGUUGGAAAGUUUCGGCGGUUGGGGAUGGACUCGCGGCUUAUCAGCUUGUUGGUGGGGUAGUGGCUUACCAAGGCUUUGACGGGUAGCCGGCCUGAGAGGGUGACCGGCCACAUUGGGACUGAGAUACGGACCAGUCUCCUACGGGAGGCAGCAGUGGGGAAUAUUGCACAAUGGGCGGAAGCCUGAUGCAGCAACGCCGCGUGCGGGAUGACGGCCUUCGGGUUGUAAACCGCUUUCGCCUGUGACGAAGCGUGAGUGACGGUAAUGGGUAAAGAAGCACCGGCUAACUACGUG
rnacentral:rRNA from 1 species